rnacentral:tRNA from 1 species
CCCUCAAUAGCUCAGUCGGGUAAGAGCGCCUGCUUGUUGGCGUAGCCUGACCGCAGGUCUUAGCGCAGGAGGUCGUCUGUUCAAAUCGGACUUGGGGGG